UUCUUAGACCCGCGCGGCGGUUUUUUAGGCGACCGGGUCAGGCGGGGAACCGAGCAGCCCAGCUUGGGCAAUCGAGCGCCGCGGCAAUCUGAGAGGAA
rnacentral:SRP_RNA from 1 species